rnacentral:rRNA from 1 species
CCUACGGGAGGCAGCAGUGGGGAAUCUUGCGCAAUGGGCGAAAGCCUGACGCAGCAACGCCGCGUGCGGGAAGAAGGCCUUAGGGUUGUAAACCGCUUUCAGUAGGAACGAAAAUGACGGUACCUGCAGAAGAAGGUGCGGCCAACUACGUGCCAGCAGCCGCGGUGACACGUAGGCACCAAGCGUUGUCCGGAUUUAUUGGGCGUAAAGAGCUCGUAGGCGGUUCAGUAAGUCGGGUGUGAAAACUCUGGGCUUAACCCAGAGCCGCCACUCGAUACUGCUGUGACUUGAGUUCGGUAGGGGAGCAGGGAAUUCCUAGUGUAGCGGUGAAAUGCGCAGAUAUUAGGAGGAACACCGGUGGCGAAGGCGCUGCUCUGGGCCGAUACUGACGCUGAGGAGCGAAAGCGUGGGUAGCAAACAGGAUUAGAUACCCUGGUAGUCCACGCCGUAAACGUUGGGCACUAGGUGUGGGUUCCAACCACGGAAUCCGCGCCGUCGCUAACGCAUUAAGUGCCCCGCCUGGGGAGGUACGGCGGCGACGACGUAAACGUACGAAGAAGUAGACGGCGUGAGACGUUGCGAGGCGACGACGAGGGAGGAGG